GUAGUUCCUGGGCCAGGGAUCAAACCUGCGCUGCCACAGGGACAACGCCAGAUCCUUAACCUGCUGCACCACAGCAGAAACUCAUCACCGCUCUUUGACAGAACAUUCGGGUAUCUACGACAAUGCAUGCAUCUCAGGGAGGGCGUUGUUUGAAGUCAGAUUUUACAUUGUUCCCCUUGACCGGUGCUGGUAAAAUUGGAUCCCGUCCCCGGACCCUGAUUUUUAGCAGUCACUAGUUUUGAGUGUAUAGACUCCCAUGAGGGCCAGUAUCAAGCUACUAAAACUUUAACAACUAGCCUGAAAAUUCUCUGAAUAGUAGAGAGACUUAAAACUUAACUGAACUGGUACAAGCUCUAGAGCUGAGACUGUUUUUAAAUAAAGAGAGAAGAGGAAAAUGAUGGGAUAAGUUUCCCNGGGGGGGGGGGGGGGGGGUGACAUGAGCAAGAGAACGGCGCCAGAAUCAAUUUCACAGGGAGCGGUUUCCUCACCACCGUAUCCACCUCACGUAUCUGUACUAGGGUCUCCAGAGAGACAGGACCAGCAGGAUAUCUACCUGUCUGUCUGUCUGUCUGUCUGUCUAUCUAUCUAUUAUCUAUCAUCUAUCUAUUAUCCAUCUAUUAUCUAUCUACCUAUCCUCUAUCUAUCUAUCUAUCUAUCUAUCUAUCUAUCAUCAUCUAUCUAUCUAUUAAAAGGGAUUGGCUCAAAUAGUUUGGAGGCUGAGAAGCCCCCAGAUCUGCAGUCAGCAAGAGGGAGCCCCAGAGAGCCAAUGGUUGGCUUUCCAUCGGAGUGCGGGUUGGCUUCCCAUCGGAGUCCGGGUUGGCUUCCCAUCGGAGUCCGGGGUUGGCUUCCCAUCGGAGUCCGGGGUGGGCUUCCCAUCGGAGUGCGGGUUGGCUUCCCACGGAGUCGGGGUUGGCUUCCCAUCGGAGUCCGGGGUGGCUUCCCAUCGGAGUGCGGGUUGGCUUCCCAGCGGAGUCGGGGUUGGCUUCCCAUCGGAGUGCGGGUUGGCUUCCCCUCGGAGUGCGGGUUGGCUUCCCAUCGGAGUGCGGGUUGGCUUCCCAUCGGAGUCCGGGUUGGCUUCCCAUCGGAGUGCGGGUGAGGACCUGGAGAGCUGACGCUGAAGCUCUUGGCCCACGUCCAGGUUAGAAGCCGAGAGAAGACCCAUGACCCAGCUUGAAAACAGUCACGCAGAGAGAGGGAGACGUCUGUCUUACCCGACGUUUGUGGUCUAUUCGGUCCUUCCGUGGAUGGAGGCAGCCCAUCCACGUGGGGGAGGGAACCUGCUUGGCUGAAUCUAUUGAUUCCAAUGGCAAUCUCAUCCAAAAUCACUCUGAGGGAUAAAUGGUUUUCGUUUAUCACUAUAAAACCAAGGACAAUUUUAUAACUUUUUGGUGUAUAGCUGUUACACGUAGGGCAAUCUCUCUUGAAGUCGGGAUAUGUUACUCUAAAAGAAAUGAAUUUUGGCUAGUUUUUCCUGCAAGCCAAGCAUCUUGUUGUUUAAAUAAACUUCUGGUUUAAAAUGAAAAAGAAAUACACCAGAAAUAAUGCUUAACUAAAUACCCAUAUACUCCAUAGCUAGUCAUAUAAAAUUAACCAUCACAGUAUUUUUAUUAUUGAACUCGGCUCACUGAAUUGGAGUAUCUAUGAAACAAGGUGUUAAAGAGACUUCCUGAAUGUUGGCUAAAGCUGAAAAUUGGAACCAUGAAGAGAGAAAUGCUCCCCUAUUCUAAAGAAGACUACUGGGUUUCUUUCUGCAUUGAAUGAGCUUGUCUCUUAAUCACCAGGACUCAUCUCCAGCAUCUAGGAAAUAAAAUUAAAAUUUGGAAAGAUCAAUUUCCUAAAGAAAUGUGUAAGAGUAGGACAUAUUUUGACCUUUCUCUUCUUGGAGAAAAGAAGAAGAUGGUACUUCUUUUUCCGGCCAAACGAUAGUCUCUAAGCCAAGAAACACUUAAGGGGAUUGGGCAGGUGCGCACCAGAUGCUGACUGAGCGGAAGCACAUCCAUAGGCACAGCCCAAAGUGUCAGUGUGACCUCAGUGCAGUUGCCUGGGGUUGGGAGUGUAUACGAAGAUAUAGGGAUUAGUGGUUGCUUCCCACCUGGAGAAUCCUGAGAGUGGGAAGCUAGCAUAGUGAGGAAAGAAGACCACAGCUGGAUAAGCAGGAAAAUAAAGCAUGCCAUUUUUUGAAGAUCAAGGGACAUUUAGGAAUGUGGUUGGUUUGGACUCUCUUGAAAGGAGCUUACCUAUCCCAGAGGGCUGCCUACUGGGCCAUGGUGCCCCAAAUGAAAGGGGCUAUCUCAUCAUUUCUAAGAAUAUUAGAUGAAGGUGCCAUUGUCUGAAGAUGCUGAUUUAUUAGAGCCGGUGUGUAGCUUAGAAUAUGUAUUUUAAAAAAAGACGUUCCCAACUAUUGAGCCAAGUUUAAGGUCCACUGGACUCAUAGAUGAUAACCUUUGAACAUCCCUCCGCAGCCACCUGCCUAAGUACCUGCAUUGCUGCCUCUCUACAAGUGUGGUUAUCUAGAAGCAGUAUAUACAUUCAAGUUCUUUUAAAACUGCAUAUGUAACAAUAUAAAUGGCAAGUAGAAAAAUGAUAUUUUUGGAGUUCCCAUUGUGGCUCACUGGGUUAUGAACCCAACUAGUAUCCAUGAGGAUGUGCGUUCAAUCCCUGGCCUCACUCAGUGGGUUAAGGAUCCUGUGUUGCUGUGGCAGUGGUGUAGGCCGGCAGCUGCAGCUUCAAUUCUACCCCCAGCCUGGGAACUUUCAUAUACCCUAAAAAGUGGGGGAAAAAAAAGAAAGAAAGAAAGAAAGAAAAAAGUAAAAGAGAAACGAUGUUUUCCUUCCUAUACUGCUCAAACAAAUGCAUACUCUAUUCUAAAUGGAAUCUUCUUUUUCUUUUGCUUUUUUAGGUUCCCACCUGUGGCAUAUGGAGGUUCUCAGGCUAGGGGUCCAAUUGGAGCUGAAGCUGCUGGCCUACACCACAGCC
rnacentral:lncRNA from 1 species